AUGUGCAGUAAAAAUAAAUAUGCUGAAGAAAAGAAAGAAAGGUGGAGGAGCUUGAGCAGACAAACACGAGGGCAAGGAAGUGACUGGCCUUCCUUAAAAGGAAUUAAAGCAUCGUGUUGUGGAGAUGCUGUAUGUUUCGUUGUGAAAGUGAAAACUACUUUGUUUGGCCCUCCAAAAGAGGACAAUAUCCGCUUCGUCAUGCCUAGAGCUGAUCUGUGCUGGUCACCAAGGAAAUACAUCAGCUUCGCGCUGUGGAUCACCGGAUCAGCUUUUACUGUGGAUGAAGCGGAGUCCAGCCCGGGGUCAUCACAUGUGGUUGCCAUAAGCCCGCCGGACACUGAAUCUGCUGGCUGCACCGUUCUCAAGACCACCGACUGUUUCUCACUCAAGCCCGCCACGUGUGAUGCUGUGUGUUUCGUUGUGAAAGCAAAACUACUUUGUUUUGCCUCCCAAAAGAGGACACGACUAGAAAUCAGUGGUUAAGUUGUUUUUACAACACUGUUCCAAAACAGUUCAAUGCAAAUAUUCAGAUGUGUGGAGCACAUUUUAUGGAGGACUGUUUCCUGAACCUGCAGUAGCCUACAAUGCUUCUGUUCUCAAAGGCUGUUCUAUAAAGUGGGGCAGUUCCAACUUUGCAAGGACAGUCUGGCACUUCUGACUCACAGUCUGUAAGUUUUUUUUAAUAUAUAUAUAUACAUUUAAAGAAUUUGCCACUAUAUAAUAAUACAUAAUUCAACCCCCCCAAAAAAACAAUACAAUACAAAAAAAAAAAAAAAAAAAAAAAUGCAGUGAUUGAUUUAUAGUUAUUUUUAAAGCGUCCAAUGUACUCUCAUUAUAAAAAUAACUGUGUUGUUUAUUUAAUUCUAACAUGUUUUUGUUAAAAACUAACCAAAAAUGAAAAAAAAAAAAAGUUUAUAAUCAGAGAUUUUGGAGAGAUUUGGUGUCAUUUCCAAACACUGACAUUACAUUUAGUCAUUUAGCAGAUGUUUUUAUCCAAAGCGACUUACAAAUGAGGACAAUGGAAGCAAUCAAAAUCAACAAAAGAGCAAUGAUAUGCAAGUGCUAUAACAAGUCUUGGUUAGAU
ensembl:lncRNA